rnacentral:ncRNA from 1 species
AUCACCAGCAGCCGGGAGAUAUACGGGAUCAGCGGCAGAUUCAGAAUCAGCAGCACCAGGUUGCCGAAGUACAUCGAGAUGAUCACCGACCAGAACACAUCCGGAUUAUCCAGGAACAGGCGCGGACC